GUUAAGGUUUAACUUACUUUAUUUAUUUGUUUAUAGGAUUUAUUAAUUAAAUUAUUUUUAGAUUUUUGAGGUUUGUGUAUAGAAUAUAAAUAAAAUUAUUUGUGUGGUAGGUUAAUUGUAUCGUGAGAGGUUGAUUGAAAUAAUUUGAAAAUAUAUUUCAGUAAAAGUAGGCUUAAUUUGUUGUACCUUGUGUAUCAGGGUUUAUUAAAAAAAUUUAUAAUUAAUUUAUAUUUUCCCGAUUCAAAGAGAACUAAAUAAAUAUAGUAGUUAAUGUGGAAUAAUUAUUGGGAAUAUUUAUUUAGUAAUGAAACGUUAUCCGUUCUUUGAGAUAUCUGGUUUUCUAAGAAAUGAAUUUAAUUCAGAGUUUUACAUGUAGAUUAUUUAAUUUGUUAAAUAAGUUAUAAGUAAGGCUUAAUGCCUUGGGGGAUAAGCUCCAAUGUAGGUUUUAUAAUUUUGUUAAAGUAAAAAAGAUUUUGUAGGCUUAGAAUUAGCUAUCAAUUAAAGUAUGUUAUAAUUUAAUUUUUUUUUGUGUUUUAAUUUUCUAAAAGUUUAAGUUUUAUAUUAGAAUAAUUUAAUUAAUUUAAUAUUAAUUGUGAUAAUGAUAAAAUUAGUAUACAAAUUGUUUUACAAAUUACUUAUGUAAGGUUACAUUAAGGAAUUAGGCAAAUUAAUACUCGCCUGUUUAGCAAAAACAUGUCUUCUUGAAUAUAAUUUGAAGUCUGACCUGCCCACUGAAUUAAAUAUUUGAAGGGCCGCGGUAUUUUGACCGUGCAAAGGUAGCAUAAUCAUUAGUCUUUUAAUUGAAGGCUAGAAUGAAUGGUUGGACGAGGUAUUGACUGUCUCGGUGUGAUUGAGAUUAGAAUUUAACUUUUAAGUUAAAAGGCUUAAAUGUUUUUAAAGGACGAGAAGACCCUAUAGAGCUUUAUACCUAUAAGUGCAUAUUUAUUUAGAGAAUUUUUGACAUGGGUUAACUAGGUAUUUUGUUGGGGUGACAGGAAGAUAUAUAAAACUCUUUUUAAUUGAAUUUCACUGAUUUGUGAUUUAUUGAUCCAUUAUUAUUGAUUAUAAGACUAAGUUACCUUAGGGAUAACAGCGUAAUCUUUUUCGAGAGUUCUUAUCGACAAAAAGGGUUGCGACCUCGAUGUUGGAUUAGGGGUAAUUUUGGGUGUAGAUGUUCAAAGUUUAGGUCUGUUCGACCUUUAAAUCCCUACAUGAUCUGAGUUCAGACCGGUGUAAGCCAGGUCGGUUUCUAUCCUUAAAUUAUUGUGAUACUUUAGUACGAAAGGACCAAGUAUUGGGAAAAUUUUUUUCUCUAUGAUGAUUAAUAUUAACAGCUU
rnacentral:rRNA from 1 species